GUAAUAACGUAGCACAUAUACUAAAAUUGAAGCGAUAUAGACAAGACUAGCUUAGCCUCAUGUGUAAGGAUGACAAGCAAAUUUGUGAAUGUUCUAUCUUUAAU